rnacentral:rRNA from 1 species
AUUGAACGCUGGCGGCAGGCCUAACACAUGCAAGUCGAGCGGAUGAAGGGAGCUUGCUCCUGGAUUCAGCGGCGGACGGGUGAGUAAUGCCUAGGAAUCUGCCUGGUAGUGGGGGAUAACGUCCGGAAACGGGCGCUAAUACCGCAUACGUCCUGAGGGAGAAAGUGGGGGAUCUUCGGACCUCACGCUAUCAGAUGAGCCUAGGUCGGAUUAGCUAGUUGGUGGGGUAAAGGCCUACCAAGGCGACGAUCCAUAACUGGUCUGAGAGGAUGAUCAGUCACACUGGAACUGAGACACAGUCCAGACUCCUACGGGAGGCAGCAGUGGGGAAUAUUGGACAAUGGGCCAAAUCCUGAUCCAGCCAUGCCGCGUGUGUGAAGAAGGUCUUCGGAUUGUAAAGCACUUUAAGUUGGGAGGAAGGGCAGUAAGUUAAUACCUUGCUGUUUUGACGUUACCAACAGAAUAAGCACCGGCUAACUUCGUG